rnacentral:rRNA from 1 species
AAUCAACGCUGGCGGCGUGCCUAACACAUGCAAGUCGAGCGGACUUAUGGGGCUUGCUCCAUAAGUUAGUGGCAGACGGGUGAGUAACGCGUGGGAAUGUACCUUUUGGUUCGGAAUAACUUCGGGAAACUGUAGCUAAUACCGGAUGAGCCCGUGAGGGGAAAGAUUUAUCGCCAAAAGAGCAGCCCGCGUUAGAUUAGGUAGUUGGUAGGGUAAUGGCCUACCAAGCCUACGAUCUANAGC